UCACUUCAGCAGUGUAUAUACUAAGAUUGGAAUGAUAUAGAGUAGAUUAGCAUGGCUCCUGUGCAGGGAUGACGUGCAGAUUCAUGAAGCGUUCCAUAUUUUG